AGUGAACGCUGGCGGUAGGCCUAACACAUGCAAGUCGAACGGCAGCACAGUAAGAGCUUGCUCUUACGGGUGGCGAGUGGCGGACGGGUGAGGAAUACAUCGGAAUCUACUUUUUCGUGGGGGAUAACGUAGGGAAACUUACGCUAAUACCGCAUACGACCUACGGGUGAAAGCAGGGGAUCUUCGGACCUUGCGCGAUUGAAUGAGCCGAUGUCGGAUUAGCUAGUUGGCGGGGUAAAGGCCCACCAAGGCGACGAUCCGUAGGUGGUCUGAGAGGAUGAUCAGCCACACUGGAACUGAGACACGGUCCAGACUCCUACGGGAGGCAGCAGUGGGGAAUAUUGGACAAUGGGCGCAAGCCUGAUCCAGCCAUACCGCGUGGGUGAAGAAGGCCUUCGGGUUGUAAAGCCCUUUUGUUGGGAAAGAAAAGCAGCAGGUUAAUACCCCGCUGUUCUGACGGUACCCAAAGAAUAAGCACCGGCUAACUUCGUG
rnacentral:rRNA from 1 species